rnacentral:lncRNA from 1 species
CUCUGUCCGCAGAAAGAGGUCUUCUGGAUAAAUUAUCUGAAGGGUUGCAAAUCGAAUCUCCCAAGCUCAGUUGAGCAUUUUUGAGUAUAGGAGCUCAUCUGAUCCUCACACGCACUCAGCGAAGCAAAGACAGCAGUGACUUUCCCGCCUUGAUACACGGGGAGACUGAGGUCUCAUCGAGAUGGCUCCCUGGGCAGACGCACGGUGGGUACUGACAGAAGAACGAGGAGCGUCGCUUCCGUCGAUUAAGGGCUUCCUUGCGCCAGGCCUGUGCCAAGCCCUGGACAAAUAUGAUCUCUCUCAAUUCUCACGACUCUUCAAAACAGGGUGGAGAGUCUAAAGGAAGAGCUCACUCUGCCAUGAUGCUGAUGUCACCUGCUGAUUCUUUUCUUUUGAAGAUUAUUCAGCCUCUUGCUUCUCCCUCCACUUCUUCCAACCUUUUAGACAUUUCAUGGCUUGAGAGAAUCACCAUAAGAAGAUGGAGAUGAUGGGAAGCACACUGAGUUGUAGCAGCUACGUCUCUUACCAGUUCUGUGACUUGGGCAAAUUCACUUGAGCUUCCUGAACCUUAGUUUCUUUAGCCAUAAAAUGGGAUCAUAAUUAUACUUAGUGACCUGAUAUUGCAUGUGAAGCAGCUGGGCCAGGGCCUGUUUGAUAGUAAAAGCUGCAUAAAUGUGACGUUGUCAUCAUUAUCUCCAUGGCCUGGCUGACAGGACCACAAGAAAGGAAAAGAGACUGAAAUCUUUUAUAUUCUUCUUAACUCUCUGGAAAAAGGAUUUAACACUCUGGUGAAAGAGCAUAAAAUUAAUAUGACUGGUUGGUCAAAAUGAGA